rnacentral:rRNA from 1 species
GGUUGUCGUCAGCUCGUGUCGUGAGAUGUUGGGUUAAGUCCCGCAACGAGCGCAACCCCUAUCUUCAGUAGCCAGCAUUUUGGAUGGGCACUCUGGAGAGACUGCCAGGGACAACCUGGAGGAAGGUGGGGAUGACGUCAAAUCAUCAUGCCCCUUAUGGCCAGGGCUACACACGUGCUACAAUGGCGUAAACAAAGGGAAGCAGCCGUGUGAAUGUGAGCAAAUCCCAAAAAUAACGUCUCAGUUCGGAUUGUAGUCUGCAACUCGACUACAUGAAGCUGGAAUCGCUAGUAAUCGCGAAUCAGAAUGUCGCGGUGAAUACGUUCCCGGGUCUUGUACACACCGCCCGUCACACCAUGGGGGUCAGUAACGCCCGAAGCCGGUGACCUAACCGAAAGGGAGGAGCCGUCGAAGGUGGGACCGAUAACUGGGGUGAAGUCGUAACAAGGUAGCCGUAUCGGAAGGUGCGGUUGGAUCACCUC